UGACCUUGAGUCAAGUCUCCUGGACUCCAUUCAUCUAGGCCAUGCCUUGUUCCAUUCUUUUGUUUCCAUAAUGGUUGAACAGUUCUUACUGGUUUACCUUGGUCUAUGGUUUCUUUUCCUAAGGUCAGAGCAUGGCCUCCCUUAGAACACAAUCCUAGAAAAGUCAUCUUCAACCUCCUAGAUAUUUUACCCAGUUGGUAAUUUACCACUAGGAACUAACAUAGGCUUUUAGAAGUGGGAUGUUACAAUUGCUGCACUUUUAUUAAGCAGCUAAUUAAAUUAUUUUCAUCAUGGUCCAUGUCAGCAACUUUUUGCUCGUAAUGUAGAACCAUAAGCAGGAAAAAUAGCAAAAGCAGAAUACAGUGGCCACAGUCUAAAAGGUCUAAAAGGAACUGGCUACAUCAUUAGAGUCCAAGUGGUCCCUUAUCUAUUUCCACAUAAGUAUCAAAUUAUAGCCCAAUGUCCUUGGACUUUGACCUGCCAUGCUGAAGCAAGUAUCUCUACUGUAGACUAACUGAUGUUGAAUUAUACAACUUGAGAUUUACUCCUGCAACUUAAACUCUUGCCACGUCUUGAAAUGCAAAUACCCCCAAAGAAUAAUAUUUGAUAUUAAGCAAUAGACCAAUGGGGGAGAUAGAUUUUAUGGAGGAUAGGGAUUUGGACAGAGACCUGUCCCUUUGCCCUUCAAAUCAAACUUUGUAUUUACCUGUUUCUUCCUCUUACUUGUAAGAUUUGCAUUGAUAAGAAACAGAACUAAAUCCUCUUACUCUGGCACAUCCAAAUAACCUUGUGAUAAGAGAUCAAAAGGAGUUCAGGUGGAUUUGUACUCCACAUGUAUAAUAUUUGCCUUGUCUGAUUUGUCAUUUUGUGCAAACAUUGGCUGUUACUUUUAUG
rnacentral:lncRNA from 10 species